GACGAACGCUGGCGGCGUGCCUAAUACAUGCAAGUAGAACGCUGAAGGAGGAGCUUGCUUCUCUGGAUGAGUUGCGAACGGGUGAGUAACGCGUAGGUAACCUGCCUGGUAGCGGGGGAUAACUAUUGGAAACGAUAGCUAAUACCGCAUAAUAGCAGUUGUUGCAUGACAACUGUUUGAAAGGUGCAAUUGCACCACUACCAGAUGGACCUGCGUUGUAUUAGCUAGUUGGUGGGGUAACGGCUCACCAAGGCGACGAUACAUAGCCGACCUGAGAGGGGGGUCGGCCACACUGGGACUGAGACACGGCCCAGACUCCUACGGGAGGCAGCAGUAGGGAAUCUUCGGCAAUGGACGGAAGUCUGACCGAGCAACGCCGCGUGAGUGAAGAAGGUUUUCGGAUCGUAAAGCUCUGUUGUAAGAGAAGAACGAGUGUGAGAGUGGAAAGUUCACACUGUGACGGUAUCUUACCAGAAAGGGACGGCUAACUACGUG
rnacentral:rRNA from 1 species